rnacentral:misc_RNA from 1 species
AAAGCGCGUCAAAUAUGGC